rnacentral:lncRNA from 1 species
GGAAAUUUUUCCCAUUGAUGGUCAGGGUGAGUACAGGUCAUUGGGCUCCUAUUGACUGUAUCCAAUAAAUAUCUGAAGAGUCGAAUCCAGCAUCUCCUCUUUUUUCUCUUUUUGCUACAUUAUUUGUUAGCAUUUGAGGGAGCAACAGCAGCUGCGCUAUACAUUGUCUCGCUUGUAUCACAGAAAUCCCAGUAGGUGAAUGAGUCAUAAUCUUAAUUUCUCCAGUGAAACCCCCAUCUAUGACCCCGGGAGCAACCAGAAUACCAUUCACAGUAGCGCUACUUCGACCUAAAAGUAAGCCUAUCAUCUCUGAUGGUAGAGGCCCAUAAACUCCAGUAGGUAGGGCCUGCAUCCCCAUUUCUGUGGUUAAUACUGUGAAGGCAGAGGGACUGAGGUCCAGUCCAGUCCUGUGCUGCCUGCGGUUGCUCUGAAGAGGUCCUGAAUGGAUUUCCUUGCUGGGGAACGAAUGUUUGAAGUGCCCCAUAACAUUGUCGCGGGGCCUGGGGCGGGCCCCUCCUCCCGUUUCCCUGCGGGAGAAUAUUUCCCAUGGCAUCCUUUUUAGAUUUACACUCAUUAGCCCAAUGAUUGCCUCUUUUGCACCUGGGACACAAUCCAGGCCCAUUUUCUUUCCCUGCAUUGUUUGAAUUGGCUAGAGGAGUCUUAUUAGGACAUUGCCGCACCUGAUGGCCUAUUUGACCAUAUCCAAAUCAACUCCCUGGUGGACCCGGAACCCUGCCUUUGGGAUUUCUCUUUUGUUGUUGGAACAACACUUCCUUAACUGUUCUUCCCUGCAAAGCUGCUGCCAUAGCAAGGCCCUGAGUAUAAGCAAAUGUCAGCACACAUUCUGAUAUAAUCUGAAAUGGUGCCUUUCUUUCUAAAUGGUCUUAGGGCUGCCUGGCAGGCGGUAUUGGCAUUUUCAUAAGCCAGUUGUUUGACCAGUAACAAUCCCGCAUUGGAAUCUCCCAGCAAUCUACUGGCAGUCUGCAUUAACCUGGCUACAAAGUCUUGAAAAGGCUCAUCAGGUCCCUGCCUAAUUUUGGAUAAAUCUUCUGUCUGCCUACCUGUAGAAGGCAGCUUCUGCCAUGCCCGCUUGGCAGCGGUAUUGACCUGUGCAUAUACUCCUGCGGGAAACAAUAAUUGAUUGGCGAGGUCCGCAUAUCGCCCUUCUCCUGCCAGCAUGUUAUAAUCAAUAUCAUUUCUAUUAGCCUGAUUUAAUUCAGCUGUUCUUUGACACAGCUCCGAAAAUUCUGUUUUCCAAAGGAGGUACUCUGCCCCAGACAGGCAUGCCUUAGCAAGCUGUUUUCAAUCUCUGGGAGGCAGCGCCUCCAUGCUCAAUGAUUCUAACAUAGCCUGAGUAAAAGGUGCGGUAGGGCCAUAUUGCGCACAUGCCAUUUUUAACUCUUUGAGUUGCUUAAAAGGAAUCGGUCGAUGGAUUCUGACCAUAUUCCCUUGAGCAUCAGCUUCCUCAAAUACUGGACAAGCUAAAUGAAAGCCCUGGGUAUCUUCCCCUCUGUCAACCGCAUGUUGCAGGGUAGCUUGUAAUAGCGACAGAGACCGAGAGUUGACAGACAAAGGCCUGGGUCCUGGGGGAUGUUUGAUCAUGGCUAUAAGAGGGUCAGUUUUUUUCAUUAAUCUUGGACCUGCAACCAGCGGGGGAUCAAGACCAGCAAUUAUACUAGGAACUAUUCCUCCCUCGCCCUGAGUCUUCUGGUCUUCCUCUUCCACCGUUAAGCCUGUCUGCCACAGCUGACAAAGAGACUCCAAUCUCUUUUCCAAUCUAGCAAUCCUUUCGGUCAUGUCCUCAUUCGCUGGCUGUCAGGAUUUUUCUGUUUUCCUGGCCACGGCUACGAUAGGGAGAGGGGGAGCAGUCCUCACUGUUAUACCUAGCAGCCUCUUCUUCCAAAUCAUCAGCAUCUCCCGGGCUUAGGGGUCCCUCAUCUGGAAAAAACCCUUCCUUAGUGCAGGCUCUGCAUCAGCAUAUACUGGCAGAGCAGAUGGCUUAGUUUCAUUUUCUGUAGGAGGCGGAGGGACAACCUCGGGAACAUCAGCCUUGUCGGGCUCCUCUGAGGAAGGACUUGAGGAGGGUCCUUCAACCCUCUCUCUCUCUCAUGCCGAGGAUCCAAACUAUCUCUAAUUAAAGCCCAUAAACUAAAAGUAUCUAUAGGGACUUUAGUGGGUCCAUGAUUAUCGUAAUAUUCCUGAAGUCGCUUCCCCACCUUAUUCCAUACUUCUAAAUCUACUGUGCCUUCUUCAGGGAACCAAGGACAAACUUUCUCUACAAAUUCUAAAAAAUUACAUAAUUGUUGAUGCCCUACCUUUGCUCCACGAGACCGAAGCAUAUUUUUAAGCAUAUGUUCAAAAAGCAUUCAGCUGUUACCAAUACCCAUCUUGCUACUCUCGAGUGCAUUCACCGCCCUUAAUUUACUUAUCCGAGCUCACGACCCGCGGUGUCCCUCACUAUGGUCCCCCGUAUUCAGGUCCCUGUUCGGGCGCCACCCGUGACGGAGCCCGCCGUCACUUGUCGAACAGUACCUGAAUGGGAGAGUGAGGAUGAAGAAAAAUAAAGACAAAGAGAUAGAGUCAGGAGGGCUCCCAGAGACCGAGUGCCCAAGUUUUUCUCCUCUCUUUUCUACAACAGGUGAGUUUGCUUGUUAAUCAUGACCCUCAUCCAGAGACACCUGCUUCCUUGUUUUCUAGUUCUUUGGAAAUUCCCCGCCCUCAUGGGCUUCCUUGUUUCUCGGGGUUACAGAACAUUCAUCACGUUCCAGGGCAAUCUAAUUCGGCAAGGAUGCGGUUCCUCAUAACAUAGUCUCCUUGCUCUAUACAAUGGAGGGUAAGAUUCAAAAUGGAGCCUCUUUGUCUAACACCGCUCUCCACAAUUAAGAUGAAAAAAUACUGCCAAUCUGCACAUAUGAUGCUUUCUUCUUACAUGAACUAAACUCCUUGAAGUUUCUGAAUCCACCAUCAACAUUCUUUUAAGAAUCAACUUUUUUGAAGUUGAACCCAACCAAAAUAGCAUAUACUCAAAUAUAUGUUUUUGAUGAGUUUUGACAAAAGCACACACCCAUUUGACCUCCACCAUGAUCAAGAUUCAAGAUACUUUCUUCACCUCUCAUGCUAAUAUCAGUCAGUUCUUCCCAGCCCUGGCAUCAGCAAGUACUGAUCUGCUGUCACUAAGGUUAGAUUUGUCUUUCUAGAGCCUUUUGUAAAUGGGAUCAAGCAGUAUUUACUCUCUUUUGUGUCUGGUUUCUUUCAUUCAGCAC